rnacentral:rRNA from 1 species
CCUACGGGGGGCAGCAGUGGGGAAUAUUGGGCAAUGGGCGCAAGCCUGACCCAGCAACGCCGCGUGAAGGAAGAAGGCUUUCGGGUUGUAAACUUCUUUUGUCAGGGAAGAGUAGAAGACGGUACCUGACGAAUAAGCCACGGCUAACUACGGGCCAGCAGCCGCGGUAAUACGUAGGUGGCAAGCGUUGUCCGGAUUUACUGGGUGUAAAGGGCGUGUAGCCGGGUUGACAAGUCAGAUGUGAAAUCCUGCGGCUUAACCGCAGAACUGCAUUGGAAACUGUUGAUCUUGAGUACUGGAGAGGCAGGCGGAAUUCCUAGUGUAGCGGUGAAAUGCGUAGAUAUUAGGAGGAACACCAGUGGCGAAGGCGGUCUGCUGGACGGCAACUGACGGUGAGGCGCGAAAGCGUGGGGAGCAAACAGGAUUAGAUACCCUUGUAGUC